rnacentral:lncRNA from 1 species
CGCCGAACUUCUUGUGACGUUGCACAAGAAACUGCCAUGAAGCAUUCAGCGCAGGCUUUCCGAACUCCCCACACGUUAUCAGAGCAGAGCUGGAAAAACCUCGGCAACAGCAUUUCUUCAGUGGCCUGCUGCCCAACCACACUGCAGAUAUCUCCAAAGUUGGCUGCACAUACCUUACGAACAUGAAACAUUCUGCAGUCACAGCACAUCUCACAAAACCUAGGAAGAACAAGUCUUUCCGUGAUGUCCUUUCCCACCAUGGAGGCCAUUUUGCACAUUAUAGCCACGGCUUCCGUCUUCACGUCGUCAUUGCUGUCUGGUGCUGUCAGGUCUA